GGAUUGCCUCAGUAACGGCGAGUGAAGCGGCAACAGCUCAAAUUUGAAAUCUGGCGUCUUCGGCGCCCGAGUUGUAAUUUGCAGAGGAUGCUUCGGCGUAGGCGCCGCCCAAAGUUCCUUGGAACGGGACGUCGCAGAGGGUGAGAGCCCCGUGUUCGGGCGGAUGCCGUCGCCAUGUGAAGCUCCUUCGACGAGUCGAGUUGUUUGGGAAUGCAGCUCAAAACGGGAGGUAAAUUUCUUCCAAAGCUAAAUACCGGCCGGAGACCGAUAGUGCACAAGUAGAGUGAUCGAAAGAUGAAAAGCACUUUGGAAAGAGAGUCAAACAGCGCGUGAAAUUGUUAAAAGGGAAGCGCUUGCGGUCAGAACUUGGCCGCCGUUGCUCGGGGAGGUCUCGCGCCUCCCUCGCUCUUCGGCGGCUGGGCCAGCAUCGGUUCGGGCGGCUCGAGAAAGGUCGUGGGAACGUAGCUCCCUCCGGGGAGUGUUAUAGCCCGCGGCGCAAUAGGGCCCGCCUGGACCGAGGUCUGCGCAUCUGCUCGGAUGCUGGCGUAAUGGCCCCAAGCGGCCCGUCUUGAAACACGGACCAAGGAGUCUAACAUUCGUGCGAGUGUUCGGGCGUUAAACCCGUGCGCGCAAUGAAAGUGAACGUAGGUGGGAGCCCCUUGUGGGUGCACCAUCGACCGAUCCAAAUGUUUUCGGAUGGAUUUGAGUAUGAGCACGUAUGUUGGGACCCGAAAGAUGGUGAACUAUGCCUAAACAGGGCGAAGCCAGAGGAAACUCUGGUGGAGGCUCGCAGCGGUUCUGACGUGCAAAUCGAUCGUCAAAUUCGGGCAUAGGGGCGAAAGACUAAUCG
rnacentral:rRNA from 1 species